rnacentral:tRNA from 1 species
GGGGUUGUGGCUCAGUGGUAGAGUACUUGCCUAGAGUACAUGUGAGGCCCUGGGUUCUAUCCCCAGCACCACA